UAAUAUGGCUACUGAUGAGCUUGAGC
rnacentral:piRNA from 1 species